rnacentral:lncRNA from 1 species
UUGUUAGCCAUACAUCCUGUUCUCAGGAUACCACUGGAUUCCUGAUAGUUCUCUGGGGCCUUUCCUGUUUCUGUUGAGCUCUUGAAGUUGGGAUCUAUACUCUGAGGAGUGUUUCUCUGAGCCACUUCUUACCUCCUGAGUCUGUUUAACCACAGGUUGGGGAGUAUUAGUGAGAGAUCUCAGGAAUUUGUCUAAUCUGCUUCUUUCUGGGUUCAGUCAUGGUGGAGGCUGCAGUGGGCUUAGAAGCUGUACUUUGAUCUGUCAGAAUGUUUUGUCUCUUUCUUCAAUGGCCACACUUUGAAGUUUAUAGCUUGUAGCUAUACCCCUUUUCUUAUUCUGUUGCUACUGGUGAAUUUUCAGUUGUUAGUUUUGUGUGUGUGUGUGAUGGUCAUCUGAAAGAACAUACAGGUGAGACAAUAUAAAAACACAUUUUUAAAAAUAAUAGGUUAUUGAUGGAAUUGGAAGCUAGCUUUACCAGAUGAUAAAACAUGUUACAAAAUAUAGCAAUUAGAGUAUUCCUGGCAUUAAGUAUAGACAGACAGAUUAAAAAGUUGAAUGUGUGAUAAAAGAAGUUUUAUGCAUUUUGCUUAUUUAGAGCAAAAGACUAAAUAAACUUGGCUCUUUCCUCAUAUAUGCUUGAAAAAUAUUGCAAAAGAUCAGAUAAUUAAAUUAACUGAAAGUA